UACGGGGGGAGCAAGCGUUGUUCGGAAUCACUGGGCGUAAAGGGAGUCUAGGCGGUUUGGUAAGUGGGAUGUGAAAUGCCCCGGCUCACCCGGGGGACCUGCAUCCCCAAACUGCUGAGCUUGAGUACAGGAGAGGGUGGGGGAAUUCCAGGUGUAGCGGUGAAAUGCGUAGAUAUCUGGAGGAACACCGGUGGCGAAGGC
rnacentral:rRNA from 1 species